CCUUCAACCGAUAGAUGGUGUAAGGUUAAUGGUCUCAUUACAUUCAGAUCAAUUCAACUAAAAAUUGGACGUUUAACUUUGUUUUGUACAUAAAACAACACGAACAACUGGACACCUGAUUAUUACAAAAACUUUAGAAUUGACAUUUAGUCGAAAUGGUCUAUUUCAACUCGACCCCAUGUAAACAUAAAAAAGUACGAAGUCUUUAUAACCAGUAUUCUCUGUCGUCUGUCAUUCAAAUCCAAACCAAAUCAACCCGACAAUCAACAUGGUGGUAGGUCUGGGAGGCAGUCCACCAGGCGUCCGCAACAAAAUUUGCUACUUAUUGGGAUACAUUUCCAAUAAGGAGUAAAAAUGCACGGAGUGUAGACGGUCGCCUGGUAUGUAUGUAAAAUAAACAUGCAGAUGCCUAUCCUAAGGAGGAUGGAAAACUACCAGG